rnacentral:misc_RNA from 1 species
UACAGAGGGUGCAAGCGUUACUCGGAAUUACUGGGCGUAAAGCGCGCAUAGGCGGUUUGGUAAGUUGGUGGUGAAAGCCCCGGGCUCAACCUGGGAACUGCAUCCAAAACUGGCAAGCUAGAGUACGGUAGAGGGUGGUGGAAUUUCCUGUGUAGCGGUGAAAUGCGUAGAUAUAGGAAGGAACACCAGUGGCGAAGGCGACCACCUGGACUGAUACUGACACUGAGGUGCGAAAACGUGGGGAGCAAACAGA